rnacentral:siRNA from 1 species
AUCAAACAUCAGUAGUCUAUUGUG